rnacentral:rRNA from 1 species
UAGGGAAUCUUCCUCAAUGUGCGAAAGCCUGACGGAGCAACGCCGCGUGAGUGAUGUAGGUCUUCGGAUCGUAAAACUCUGUUAUUAGGCAAUAACAAAUGUGUAAGUAACUAUGCACGUCUUGACGGUACCUAAUCAGAAAGCCACGGCUAACUACGUGCCAGCAGCCGCGGUAAUACGUAGGUGGCAAGCGUUAUCCGGAAUUAUUGGGCGUAAAGCGCGCGUAGGCGGUUUUUUAAGUCUGAUGUGAAAGCCCACGGCUCAACCGUGGAGGGUCAUUGGAAACUGGAAGACUUGAGUGCAGAAGCGGAAAGUGUAAUUCCAUGUGUAGCGGUUAAGUGCGAGGCGAUAUGGAGGAACACCAGUGAAGAAGGCGACUUUCUGGUCUGUAACUGACGCUGAUGUGCGAAAGCGUGGGGAUCAAACAGG